rnacentral:tRNA from 1 species
GGGCGUGUAGCUCAGUUGGUUAGAGCGCGUCACUGAUAAUGACGAGGUCCCAGGUUCAAGUCCUGGCACGCCCA